UGCAGUCGACGCUUUGUCUUUAACUGAUCUGACGAGCUUGCUCUGAUUUGAUUUUAUCUGACAAAGAGUGGCGAACGGGUGAGUAACACGUGGGUAACCUACCUCUUAGCAGGGGAUAACAUUUGGAAACAAGUGCUAAUACCGUAUAAUACCAACAACCGCAUGGUUGUUGGUUGAAAGAUGGUUCUGCUAUCACUAAGAGAUGGACCCGCGGUGCAUUAGCUAGUUGGUAAGGUAACGGCUUACCAAGGCAAUGAUGCAUAGCCGAGUUGAGAGACUGAUCGGCCACAAUGGGACUGAGACACGGCCCAUACUCCUACGGGAGGCAGCAGUAGGGAAUCUUCCACAAUGGGCGCAAGCCUGAUGGAGCAACGCCGCGUGUGUGAUGAAGGGUUUCGGCUCGUAAAACACUGUUAUAAGAGAAGAACGGCACUGAGAGUAACUGUUCAGUGUGUGACGGUAUCUUACCAGAAAGGAACGGCUAAAUACGUGCCAGCAGCCGCGGUAAUACGUAUGUUCCAAGCGUUAUCCGGAUUUAUUGGGCGUAAAGCGAGCGCAGACGGUUAUUUAAGUCUGAAGUGAAAGCCCUCAGCUCAACUGAGGAAUGGCUUUGGAAACUGGAUGACUUGAGUGCAGUAGAGGAAAGUGGAACUCCAUGUGUAGCGGUGAAAUGCGUAGAUAUAUGGAAGAACACCAGUGGCGAAGCGGCUUUCUGGACUGUAACUGACGUUGAGGCUCGAAAGUGUGGGUAGCAACAGGAUUAGAUACCCUGGUAGUCCACACCGUAAACGAUGAGUGCUAGAUGUUCGAGGGUUUCCGCCCUUGAGUGUCGCAGCUACGCAUUAGCACUCCGCUGGGGAGUACGACCG
rnacentral:rRNA from 1 species